rnacentral:rRNA from 1 species
UUGACCUCGAAUCAGGUAGGGAUACCCGCUGAACUUAAGCAUAUCAAUAAGCGGAGGAAAAGAAACCAACAGGGAUUGCCUUAGUAACUGCGAGUGAAGCGGCAAGAGCUCAAAUUUGAAAUCUGGCGUCUUUGGCGUCCGAGUUGUAAUUUGGAGAGGCAUCUUCGGGGGCGGCGCCGGCCUAAGUUCCUUGGAACAGGACGUCAUAGAGGGUGAGAAUCCCGUUCUCGGCUGGCUGUCCGUCCUCAUGUGAAGUGUCUUCGACGAGUCGAGUUGUUUGGGAAUGCAGCUCAAAAUGGGUGGUAAACUCCAUCUAAAGCUAAAUACUGGCGAGAGACCGAUAGCGCACAAGUAGAGUGAUCGAAAGAUGAAAAGCACUUUGAAAAGAGAGUCAAAAAGUACGUGAAAUUGUUGAAAGGGAAGCGCUUGAGACCAGACUCGGCGUGAGGUAUUCAUCGUCCCUUCUGGGGCGUGCACUUGCCUCUCGUCGGGCCAGCAUCGGUUGCGGCGGCGGGAUAAAGACCUGGGGAACGUGGCUGCUCUCGGGCAGUGUUAUAGCCCCGGGUGUCAUGCCGCCUGCUGCGACCGAGGACCGCGCUUCGGCUAGGAUGCUGGCACAAUGGUCUUCAGCGACCCGUCUUGA